rnacentral:rRNA from 1 species
UAACUGAAGAGUUUGAUCAUGGCUCAGAUUGAACGCUGGCGGCAGGCUUAACACAUGCAAGUCGAGCGGGGGAAGGUAGCUUGCUACUGGACCUAGCGGCGGACGGGUGAGUAAUGCUUAGGAAUCUGCCUAUUAGUGGGGGACAACAUCUCGAAAGGGAUGCUAAUACCGCAUACGUCCUACGGGAGAAAGCAGGGGAUCUUCGGACCUUGCGCUAAUAGAUGAGCCUAAGUCGGAUU